rnacentral:rRNA from 1 species
UACAGAGGUCCCAAGCGUUGUUCGGAUUCACUGGGCGUAAAGGGUGCGUAGGUGGUGAGGUAAGUCGGAUGUGAAAUCUCCGAGCUCAACUCGGAAAUGGCAUUGGAAACUACCUUGCUCGAGGGUUGGAGGGGGGACUGGAAUGCUUGGUGUAGCAGUGAAAUGCGUAGAUAUCAAGCGGAACACCAGUGGCGAAGGCGAGUCCCUGGACAGCUCCUGACACUGAGGCACGAAAGCUAGGGGAGCAAACAGG